UACGUAGGGGGCAAGCGUUGUCCGGAUUUACUGGGCGUAAAGCGCGCGUAGGCGGCUUUGCAAGUCGGGUGUGAAAUCCCCAGGCUUAACCUGGGAACUGCAUUCGAGACUGCAUUGCUAGAGUAUGGGAGAGGGAAGUGGAAUUUCCGGUGUAGCGGUGAAAUGCGUAGAUAUCGGAAGGAACAUCAGUGGCGAAAGCGACUUCCUGGACCAAUACUGACGCUCAUGUGCGAAAGCGUGGGGAGCGAACGGG
rnacentral:rRNA from 1 species